UUGAGAGCUGAACACAACCAUUUCCAUACUAUUAUGCUGCUGGAAUUUGGUCUCAAACUCACCUACCUUCAUAUAUCUCUCUAGAGCUUGAACCUUCAAGCAUUCCCUUCCCAUUCCCUAUCUUUAUAGACUCCCACAAGUCGUUUUUGGCAAGAAGAAUAGUAGGGAAGACACUAGAGGUGGUCCACACACCGUUCGUGAGCAAAGGAAUCAAAGGGAGUUGCUAAAUCUGUCUCCAAAAAGCACGACUAGCUCUUUAGAUCAACUCUUAGCUUUCGAGAAACUAAAUGGCGAUAAUUACUCAACAUGGAAAAACAAUCUGAAUUCAACACUAGUAAUAGAUGACCUGAGAUUUGUCUUAACGGAGGAAUAUCCUCAGGCCCCCUGCCUCGAAAGAAGCACAAGGAAACUAGUUCCUGGAAAAAGCUUGAAGAAGGCAAGAUCACCCUCGAGGUUGGAACAUGAGAGAUUGUCUCGGCCGAAGCAGUGGGAGAUUUAAAGUUUUUUUUCAACGAUAAAUAUAUCAUACUUAAAGAUGUUUUGUAUACACCUCUUAUGAAGAGGAAUUUAAUA